rnacentral:rRNA from 1 species
UACGAAGGUCCCGAGCGUUAUCCGGAUUUAUUGGGUUUAAAGGGUGCGUAGGCGGGUUAUUAAGUCAGUGGUGAAAGCCUACAGCUUAACUGUAGAAUUGCCAUUGAUACUGAUGAUCUUAGUAUGAUUGAGGUGGGCGGAAUGUGUCAUGUAGCGGUGAAAUGCUUAGAUAUGACACAGAACACCGAUUGCGAAGGCAGCUCACUAAGUCAAUAACUGACGCUGAUGCACGAAAAGCGUGGGGGAGCAAA